AAGGAAGCUUGCUUAAUGCAGAGCCUCUUUUGGGUGCAUCAAUUGGUCGAGCUGUCAAUAUCAAAGUCUGGGCCGAGGCUUUAGGACCAUGUGUCGAGUCAAGAUUGGAUCUAUCUAGCCUUAAAGAGCUGUCCUUAGGCCUGAUAGAGGUCGUAGGCCAAGGUGUUAUAGCAAAAUCCUUUACAAUCACCAUGGUCAAAGUCUUAGAUGCAACAAUCAAGGCAUUCUGAGCUGAUAGUGAAGGGUCUGGAGGUCAAUCUGCCCAGGCGACUUUGGCAAUUGCAAUUAGAUCGAUGGAUAUGAAGGAUGGGGCUAAGGAAGGGGUAGUCAUUGCACCGUCCAAGAUUAUGGAAGUGACUGUAGGCCCCUCCCAGCAUGCAGUCGAGGCUUACCUUUCUAUCCUCUGACUGAUCUUUUUCUUCCUGCUUCUCUUGAGUAGGUCCUUCAUCCUCCUACUUCUGACUGGACAGGUAGGAAAGAUGAGUCAGUGAUCUUCAAGUACUAUCGAUCUUGAGAGAUAAUUAAAAGGCUGAUACCUCAAUGGGAUAAAAAGUAUCUUGCCAGCAUGAUUGACAAGGAGGCUCUCUUGAGUGCGUAUCACAGCACCAUGAUGGUAAGUCUACCACCUUUCGAUGCUUGUUCUACAAGAACAGCUAAAGAAUAGAAAGAAAGAGAGAAAGAGAAAGGAAGGGAAGGAGAAGCGAAGGCGAUUGUGGAGAGGAGAAGGGAAGGCUAGUGUAGAGCAUGGAUCUCUUUUUGCCACUUCCUCUAACCUUUUUUUUAGUUCGGGCCUCUAGUAGAAGAGUCCCCCAAUUAAGAAUAUACGAUGAGUCUUCUAAUCUUCAUGAUGGGUUAUAGAGGAACAAGGUGAUGAAGAGAAGAAGGGUCUUAGGGCUAGGCUCUCAAUUUUGGCAUAAUAUUCUUAAGGCUCUCUAAUUUCUCCCCUUUUCUCAUGAGAGAAUAGUUUGUUAAUUGAUGGAAAGGAGAAGGAUCAAGUGCUACGAUCAAAGGUUCUAGGAUAUUCUUAGGAUCUAAGGACUAUGAAAGGGGUGCUAGAUGGAGUGUUUUGAUGGGUGGAAACAAAUUCACAUGGAUUGCUUAGAGAGUCCUAAGAUGGUUGUCUAGGAUUCUGAGAAUUUAGAGAGAAGAGUAUACUUUCUUAUGAAUUGAAAAGCUAGGAUUAACAAUGAUAAAAGAGAAACUAUAGGUAAAUCUAGGAUUUAGGAAAUGAUAUUAAUGCAAAUAAUCCUAGAUAAUUUAAUAGAAGAGGUGAUAGACUUGGGGAGGCCCGAUGCAAAACAUCUAAUUAGGUAAAUACAUAUAAUAAAUCUUAACUUGGACAAAGUUAGUCAUUUAUAGGGAAAAUCUCUAGUUUAUCUUAGUAAGAGAGAAAAUGGUACGAGAGAGAGAUAGACUUUAGAAUAGGAUAUGUAUCCUCAGACGCUUUGCAUGAUCACAG
rnacentral:lncRNA from 1 species